GAGGGUAUAGCUCAAGCGGUGGAGCGCACGCUUAGUGUGCGUGCGCACAAGUUCCUGGGUUCGAUCCCCAGUACCUCCU
rnacentral:tRNA from 1 species